rnacentral:rRNA from 1 species
GGAUUAGAUACCCUGGUAGUCCUAGCCGUAAACGAUGGGCACUAGAUAGGGGAGGCGCCUAUGGUCUUCUCUGUCGUAGCUAAUGUGUUAAGUGCCCCGCCUGGGGAGUACGCUCGCAAGGGUAAAACUCAAAGGAAUUGACGGGGGAUCACACAAGCGGUGGAGCAUGUGGUUUAAUUCGAAGCAACGCGAAGAACCUUACCCGGCCUUGACAUGCAUGGAUUAGCUCCCUGAAAGGGGAGUGACGCCUCUUCGGAGGUGGAACAUGUGCAGGUGUUGCAUGGCUGUCGUCAGCUCGUGCCG